rnacentral:rRNA from 1 species
GUAGGUGGCAAGCGUUGUCCGGAAUUAUUGGGCGUAAAGCGCGCGCAGGUGGGUUCUUUAAGUCUGAUGUGAAAGCCCCCGGGCUCAACCGGGGAGGGUCAUUGGAAACUGGGGAACUUGAGUGCAGGAGAGGAAAGUGGAAUUCCACGUGUAGCGGUGAAAUGCGUAGAUAUGUGGAGGAACACCAGUGGCGAAGGCGACUUUCUGGCCUGUAACUGACACUGAGGCGCGAAAGCGUGGGGAGCAAACAGGAUUAGAUACCCUGGUAGUCCACGCCGUAAACGAUGAGUGCUAAGUGUUGGGGGGUUUCCGCCCCUCAGUGCCGCAGCUAACGCAUUAAGCACUCCGCCUGGGGAGUACGGUCGCAAAGACUG